rnacentral:lncRNA from 1 species
ACUAGAAGUUAGAGGAAACAAAGUAAAAGACACAGUCUCUGGGUUCAGGAUAUUUAGGUCUAGUGGAAUACAAUCAUGAUCCAACUGAGUAAGUGGUAAAUAAAGCAAACUUAGGAUGUUAUGACAAUACACAGAAAAAGCAUGAAACUCAGAAGAGUAGCAAGAGAAGGUCAAAAAAUCUUCAUAAUAGUUUGAGAGGCAUAAGAGUUAGCUAGGCAAAAAAAGAAGACACGUUUACGCUGAAGGAAGAACGUGUAUCUAGGCUCAGAAGGAAAACAAGGAGGACCACAAUUAAGGAGAGCAGGCUGACUUCUGCCAAUGACAAGUGAGAACAGUAAGAGAGAACAGAAGAUUAAAUGCAAAUACACCACCGUAACUCCUUGUUGAUCCAUCCAAAUGACUUGCUUUGGCCAACAGCUGAAGCUGGAAGUGAAAGUGAUACCGUUCCAAGCCCAGGUCUUCAGAU